GCCGAUGUGGCUCAGUGGUAGAGCAGCUGAUUCGUAAUCAGCAGGCCACGGGUUCAAAUCCCGUCAUCGGCU
rfam:Calothrix sp. PCC 7507, complete genome.